GAAAUUACGGGACCACAUUUAUUGUGUUUUUCUUUUUUCAAUAACUAAAGUUGUAAUAUAUCAAAAUUUUAAUUUUUAACACUACAAUAUAGAAUGUACCUAUUACAGUUUAUAAAUUUUAAAUAAUUAAAAGAAAUAUUUAAGUAUUUAACAAAUACUUAAAAAGUUUAAAUAUUCGAACAGUUAGCCUCAGUGCGGUGAUGCUUUUACAGAAACUUGGAUAAAUUGCCUAUACAAAACUCCUUCAAAAUUAACAUCCAUUCAACCAAAUCAGUUUUGUCAGAUCGGAAAUUAUUUUAUGUGCGCUGCUUGCUAUGUUACAGUUUACGUCUAAACUAAGAUUCUCUUUUGUUUGAAAUGUACCUAUGUAACGUAUUAUUGGUAAAUACUUAUAUUUUAGAAAAUGUUUAUAAUUUAAAUAAAAAAAGUUAAAAAAAUUGUAAAUUUUUAAUAGCUGUAACUAACCAAACUCCGUGGUAUGUUAGUAAUCUUUCCUUACAUAAUGACCUAAAAAUAUGCACCAUUCCUACUCUCGCCCGUUUAUAUUAUUCGAAUUUCCAGGCGCACACUCACAAUCACCCUAACCCCCUAAUUUAUAAUCUUUCCUCUGCCACCAUUCCCAACAAUCCUCCUCGACGCCUUAAACGUAACUAGUCGGCGGUCGCCGAUACUUUUGUAAUCAGCACAAAAACUUGCUAAUCAAAAUCAAAAAUCAAAAUUUAUUAUUGAAGUAGUGUCAUUAGAUGCCCCAUUCUAUCACGCCCACAUGCCUUGUAAAUAAUGUUAAAAAAUUUACUUAUUGUAUCAAAUGUAUACAGAUUGUAAAUAUAUUGUUGUUUUUAAAA